GCUACAAAAGAGGGAGAGAAACAUUAGGUUUUAGAGAGAGAAACAAAGGUUCUAGAGAGAGAAAGCCCUGGAGUGCUUAAAUGUGAUAUCACAACUCAUUUCCACCCAUUUCUAAUCAGAAUUCUACAAGAUUCGUGCAAUCUCAGCCGUUGAUUUGAUCUGAUUGGGGGAUUAUGAGUUUUCUAGGGUUUAAAUCAGUUGUGUUUGAUGGAGAUUGUUGUUUGGGAGAAUUAGAAGUUGUUCCGGUGAAGGAUCAGAGCUUUCGGUUUCCAAAUAAUGAGAUACGGAUACAUCACUUGUCGCCGAGGAGCGAGCGGUGCUUGCCUAUAUCGGUUUUGCAGACGAUUUCGCCGUUUUCAGUGAGGUGUAAGCUGGAAUCGAAGGCGGUGAAUGAGCAGCCGCAUUUGCUUAGUCUUCACUCUACUCUUUUCCAUGAGCUGAAGACUGCUGUGGUGUUAUUGGGAGAAGAAGAGAUACAUCUAGUUGCAAUGCUGAGUAAACAGAAGAAUUAUCCAUGUUUUUGGUGUUAUUCUGUUCGGCCUGGUUUGUAUAAUGCUUGUUUAGGGAUGUUGAAUUUGCGGUGUUUGUCGAUUGUGUUUGAUCUUGAUGAGACACUUAUUGUUGCAAAUACAAUGAAGUCGUUUGAGGAUAGGAUUGAGGUUCUAAGGAGUUGGAUCUCUAGGGAAACUGAUCCUGUUAGGAUUCAUGGGAUGACUGCUGAGAUGAAUAGGUAUAUGGAGGAUCGAGCUUUCUUGAAGCAGUAUAAGGAUAAUGACUCUGUUGUUGAUAAUGGAAAGGUUUAUACAGUUCAAGCUGAGGAAGUUCCAAAGGUGUUGGAAAGUCAUCCUCGCGUUGUGCGUCCAGUUAUUAGAAUGCCAGAAAAGAAUUUAGUUCUGACCCGAAUUAAUCCUGAGGUACGUGAUACCAGCGUGCUUGUUAGGUUAAGGCCUGCUUGGGAAGAUUUAAGAAGUUAUUUAAUUGCAAAAGGGCGUAAAAGGUUUGAAGUUUAUGUUUGCACAAUGGCCGAAAGAGAUUAUGCACUAGAGAUGUGGAGGUUGUUAGACCCAGAUGCACAUCUGAUUAGUUCGAAACAGUUGUUGGACCGUGUUGUGUGUGUCAAAUCAGGUGCUAGGAAGUCGUUGCUCAAUGUAUUUCAAGAUGGAAACUGCCAUCCGAAGAUGGCAAUGGUCAUUGAUGACCGCUUGAAAGUUUGGGAUGACAAAGACCAGCCUCGAGUUCAUGUUGUUCCCGCAUUUGCCCCUUAUUAUGCUCCACAGGCAGAGACUGCGAAUGUGGUUCCGGUUUUAUGCGUGGCAAGAAAUGUAGCAUGCAAUGUAAGAGGUGGUUUUUUCAAAGAGUUCGAUGAGAAUCUUCUAAGGAGUAUCUCCGAAAUAUUUUAUGAAGAUGAAGUUGUAAAUUUACCUUCGGCCCCUGAUGUGAGCAAUUACUUGAUGCCUGAGGAUCCAAGCUUUGUACCAUACAACAAUUUAAUGCCUCCUAUGGCUGAGGGAAUGAAUGGUCCCGAAGCUGCGCAGAGAUUGAACUCAGUGGAUGGGAAGGCCACUGUGAAUUCAGCAAUAUAUCCUAUGGCAACUAAUUCUGAAUGGAGAGCCGACAUCUCACAGUCACAACAACCUACUGUAUCAACUCCUAAUGGUGUAGGACCAGCAUUUUUGGGACCUUCAGAAAAACCCAGUUUGCUUGGAGUUCCUUCUAGGCGAGAUGUUAGCCUCUCUGAAUCUGAUUAUGAUGUAAAGAAAAGAAUCCCUAUAGUAAACCAAAGACAAGAUUUACGUUACAGAGAUUCUGGAGAUCCUCCUUUGCUGUCAAGAUUACCCGGGCCACAAUCUGUACUUGGAAUGCAACCAGUGGGAGUCCGAUUAACAGAAGAAGAUGCAAAAAAAAGACGUUUUGAAAAUCAACCCUCAGAAAUUGUUCAAGGACCUGAUUUAUCUAACUCUGAUAGACCACAAGCUCUUGCUUUAGAAUUUGCAUCACAAUUGCCGAAAAGUGAAGAGGCAUAUCAAGGACAUGAAGUGCAGAAACAAAAUCUUCCAUCAACAACCCGGACAUCAGUUUUUGGGAAUUCUUCAUCCUUUAAUGGCCGAGAAAUUCGAACUGAAGGUAUAAAGCAAAACUUGCCACCAUCCUCUAUAUACAUUGAAGUGCUGCAAGAAAUUGGAGAGAGAUGCAACUCUAAGGUUGAGUUCAGGCCUGUUUUAAGCACCAGUGAGAAUUUACAAUUUUCUGUGGAGGUCUUGUUUACUGGUGAAAAAAUUGCUGUCGGUAUGGGCAAGACUAGGAAGGAUGCUCAGCAACAGGCUGCAGGAAAUGCCCUUCGCAGCCUUGCUGAUAAGUAUAUUUCGCAUGUUGCCCCUAGUUCAAGAGCUGUAGACAGAGCUUCUAAUAAGCCUUCUAACGGAGUUGAAAGAGGGUUUUUGUGGGACACGGUUAGUCCAGAAUCAGAGCAAAUGUUAAAUGGUGCAUCAUUGACAAAAGAAAGCCCUUCCGAGGUGCGAAAUGGUGAUGCUGCUGCCCAUGCAUGAUCUGAUUUCUUUGUUCAAAAACAUAGGCUAUGCUUGGAUAAGGGGUAUGUGGGCUGGACCAGAUAAGGCUAGUGGUUUCUUGAAAAUACCACUUCCUUAUCUGGACUUAAAUUGCACCAAGAUCUGAAAGCAAAAACAUGGAAAGGUGGUGGGAAUGCCAUUCUCAUUGUUACAGCUGUCUAUUUGGCAGGCCUCUUCCUGUUUAUUGGUUGCUGAAAUGGCACCAGGAAGUUCCUGCUCUGAAGAGGUAAAUCAGCAGCAGGUGCAAAGGCGUGCCUGUUUACCCAGGUUUUUAGAAUCUAAUUCAAGGAAGAGAAUUGAGGACGAAAGACUGUGGAAAUCAGGCGACACAUACCAGAGGAACAAGCAAGUUAGAAAACACAGUAAAACAGGUUUAUGUAGCUGAAUAUUGAUGCCCAGAGACUAAGAGUGAAUUAUGCAAAUUAAAGUUUAGAUAGAUACUAGAGGGUUUCGUAAUUUUUCAAGUGGAUUAAGGUUUCUCAUUUUCCAUGAGGAAGCAAUGCUACUGAUGUAGGAAAGUAGACAAGUAGUCUUCUCGCUUAGAAGAAAAAGAUUAUCUUCCGGGAAUAGGGUUUUUGAAUGUCACCCAAUAUUUUCAGUUGAUAACAUGGUCAACUUUUAUGUACAUUGCAGAUUUUCAUAUAUUUCGACCGAAUUAGCAAGUCAGGUAUUUGCAAGAUUUUUCUUAUCUUA